AGGACGAACGCUGGCGGCGUGCUUCAUACAUGCAAGUCGAACGAGAAGUCACCUUCGGGUGAUGGAAAGUGGCGGACGGGUGAGUAAUGUGUAGAGAAUCUGCCCUUUAGUGGGGGACAACAGUUGGAAACGACUGCUAAUACCCCAUAUGCGCGUAGCUGAGAUGCUAUUCGUGAAAACUCCGGUGCUAAAGGAUGAGUCUGCAUCUGAUUAGCUAGUUGGCGGUGUAAUGGACCACCAAGGCGACGAUCAGUAGCUGGUUUGAGAGGAUGAUCAGCCACAAUGGGACUGAGACACGGCCCAUACUCCUACGGGAGGCAGCAGUAGGGAAUUUUGCGCAAUGGGGGAAACCCUGACGCAGCAACGCCGCGUGAUUGAAUAAGCCCUUCGGGGUGUAAAGAUCUGUCAGUAGGGACGAAACUUGACGGUACCUACAGAGGAAGCAUCGGCUAACUCCGUGCCAGCAGCUGC
rnacentral:rRNA from 1 species